GACGAACGCUGGCGGCGUGCUUAACACAUGCAAGUCGAUCGAGACCUUCGGGUCUAGUGGCGCACGGGUGCGUAACGCGUGGGAACCUGCCCUUAGGUUCGGAAUAACUCCCCGAAAGGGGUGCUAAUACCGGAUAAUGUCUUCGGACCAAAGAUUUAUCGCCUUUGGAUGGGCCCGCGUUGGAUUAGCUAGUUGGUAGGGUAAAAGCCUACCAAGGCGACGAUCCAUAGCUGGUCUGAGAGGAUGAUCAGCCACACUGGGACUGAGACACGGCCCAGACUCCUACGGGAGGCAGCAGUGGGGAAUAUUGGACAAUGGGCGAAAGCCUGAUCCAGCAAUGCCGCGUGAGUGAUGAAGGCCUUAGGGUUGUAAAGCUCUUUUACCCGGGAUGAUAAUGACAGUACCGGGAGAAUAAGCUCCGGCUAACUCCGUG
rnacentral:rRNA from 1 species